GGCGGCGUGGCUUAAUGGAAAGAGCCCGGGCUUGGAAGUCCGGGGUCGUGGGUUCUAAUCCCAGCUCCGCCA
rfam:Ornithorhynchus anatinus chromosome 15, whole genome shotgun sequence.